AGUCGAGGGGCAGCACGGUGUAGCAAUACACUGGUGGCGACCGGCGCACGGGUGCGUAACGCGUAUGCAACCUACCCAUAACAGGGGGAUAACACUGAGAAAUUGGUACUAAUACCCCAUAACAUCAGGACCGGCAUCGGUUCUGGUUGAAAACUCCGGUGGUUAUGGAUGGGCAUGCGUUGUAUUAGCUGGUUGGUGAGGUAACGGCUCACCAAGGCAACGAUACAUAGGGGGACUGAGAGGUUAACCCCCCACAUUGGUACUGAGACACGGACCAAACUCCUACGGGAGGCAGCAGUGAGGAAUAUUGGUCAAUGGACGCAAGUCUGAACCAGCCAUGCCGCGUGCAGGAAGACGGCUCUAUGAGUUGUAAACUGCUUUUGUACGAGGGUAAACGCUCUUACGUGUAAGAGCCUGAAAGUAUCGUACGAAUAAGGAUCGGCUAACUCCGUGCCAGCAGCCGCGGUAAUACGGAGGAUCCAAGCGUUAUCCGGAUUUAUUGGGUUUAAAGGGUGCGUAGGCGGUUUGAUAAGUUAGAGGUGAAAUACCGGUGCUUAACACCGGAACUGCCUCUAAUACUGUUGGACUUGAGAGUAGUUGCGGUAGGCGGAAUGUAUGGUGUAGCGGUGAAAUGCUUAGAGAUCAUACAGAACACCGAUUGCGAAGGCAGCUUACCAAACUAUAUCUGACGUUGAGGCACGAAAGCGUGGGGAGCAAACAGGAUUAGAUACCCUGGUAGUCCACGCAGUAAACGAUGAUAACUCGCUGUCGGCGAUACACGGUCGGCGGCUAAGCGAAAGCGAUAAGUUAUCCACCUGGGGAGUACGUUCG
rnacentral:rRNA from 1 species